GCCGGGUGUGGUGGCUCACGCCUGUAAUCCCUGCACUUUGGGAGGCCGAGGCGGGUGGAUCACCUGAGGUCAGGAGUUCGAGGCCAGCCUGGCCAACAUGGUGAAACCCUGUCUCUA
rnacentral:SRP_RNA from 1 species